UAGUAUUAUGGCGUUGUGAGGUCUCUUGUCAUGUAGUACUAUGGCGUUGUGAGGUCUCUUGUCAUGUAGUAUUAUGGCGUUGUGAGGUCUCUUGUCAUGUAGUAUUAUGGCGUUGUGAGGUCUCUUGUCAUGUAGUAUUAUGGCGUUGUGAGGUCUCUUGUCAUGUAGUAUUAUGGUGUUGUGAGGUCUCUUGUCAUGUAGUAUUAUGGUGUUGUGAGGUCACUUGUCAUGUAGUACCAUGGCGUUGUGAGGUCACUUGACAUGUGUCUUGUCAUGUAGUACUAUGGUGUAAUGUGGUUUCUGUCUUUUGUCAGUAUAUCCAUUUAUUUUCAUUUUGCAUUCCAUCCAGACCUCUGCCACAAGAUGCAUUUUCCCUCAUGCCUGGGCAUCAUUGUAAAUAAGAAUAUGUUCCUAACUGAGUUGAUUGGUUGCAAUGGUUAACUAUAAAUACAAAAAUAAAUAUAGUCAUGGCACGUGUGGUUGUCAGAAAUCUUCUAAAAGGCAGCAGAAGCCAACAAGACACGCUAGACGAUACCGAGUGACAAAAACAAAAAUGAGAAUGAUCAGGGUGUUGUGUAACUGAUACUUGUUUAUGGGUUUUAUUACAGAUGAUAAAUCAGAGGCCUACUGGCCAGGAGUAUGUGAGGAAGUUAGACCUGAUUAUGCCAUAGGUGAUAAGUUGUUCCAUGAAAUCACGCUUUAUUUGAGUUGUUUGAAAUAAACACGGCAGCUGCUCGCCUUAACCUUCCGGAGUGUGGAUGAACAGAUUUCUGUCAGACGCUGUGCUGGAAGUCUUUUCAGGGUCAAUGCUGAUAGUUCUGCAUCACACUGCACUGCACUGGCUUGGGUUUCAUCUUCACACAACCCUUUAUAGUGCAGUUUCAGAAACUAGGGGAAUUUUGUAACCAGGCCGACUCGGUAUAGCUUGGCUCAGAUGUGUUAAAACAGUUUGCCUGUUCCUCUUCAGCUAUGUUUCGCGUUCGGGCAGCUGUGUGUUCAUUCAUCUGUUUUCCAAGUUCGCCAAACAACAGAGGCGACUCACCCACUCCGGGAGUGCCAGUCUCCCAUUCAACAUGGCUACAGUAAGCCCGUGCCUCGCAGCCACAGAUACCGUACAUGUAGCUGACACUCUUAUUCGGAGCAACAUGUAGUAACUACAGCACGCUAAGGUUUGUUUUAGUUGGCGGGGGAGGACCGAGAUUAGGAUUUAGGAUUGUAAGAUACCAAUUAAACAUGUCCUUAACCAGCAGCUUCUCCGGGGCCCGUAAAAUAAAACCUGAAUACACAUGUACGGUAGGAGGUAAACCUAUAUUUAAAAUGAAUAGAACGUGAAGCUGGGUAGGUAACUAGAUUCAGCUCCGGGCCUGUUGUUGUCAGGACGGAUGGUCGGGGGGGGGGGGUGUCAUUAUAAUAACUUUCAAAUGUCAUCUCUACACUGCAAGAUGAGCACCCCCCCCCCAAAAAAAAAUGUUUUAUUUGAAAAUAAAAUGACGGUGGGGUCUGUUCUUGCCAACCCCGAACACACAGAAUACAAAUAGAGCAGCCCAUUACAUUUGUUUGCCAUUCGUUUUAACCUUGAACAGGUUUAAUUAUAGUUGCUGCUCUGAAGGCGGGAAGUGUUUUUCUAGCCUUGAGCAGCCCUAUUAUAUCCUCAUGUUGGAUGUUCCGCAAACAAAGGACAAAAUACAUAUUAAAUGGCAGUGAAUCACACAAUCUCCUGUAAUACAAUAAUAACAACCUGGCAAUCUGUUGCUUUUCUUAGAAAACAUAUUGAACAUUGCAAAGCUCUGUACCUAUUAAGGAAAUGAACAGGGUCCCCUUGAACUCUGACCUUGCCAUCAUAUACUGCCCUUAAUGGGGCUUCUGAUGGCAUCGUGCAGUUAGACCUGAUCAAAUGAAUUUGGGGGUUGCCAUGACAAAAAGAGGGCCAGAUUGAACAUUUAAACAGAACAUCAGGGAUAACAUUUCAACUCUUAUGAUCAGUGUCACGGGAUCUCUAGUGACCACAGAGAAUGAGCACUGAAACAUGGCACUCUACAGUGGUUGCUAUGCUGGGUGCUAUACAGUGAUGUGUAGGUUGCUCUGUUGGGUGCUAUACAGUGAUGUGUAGGUUGCUAUGCUGGGUGCUAUACAGUGAUGUGUAGGUUGCUAUGUUGGGUGCUAUACAGUGAUGUGUAGGUUGCUAUGUUGGGUGCUAUACAGUGAUGUGUAGGUUGCUAUGUUGGGUGCUAUACAGUGAUGUGUAGGUUGCUCUGUUGGGUGCUAUACAGUGAUGUGUAGGUUGCUAUGCUGGGUGCUAUACAGUGAUGUGUAGGUUGCUAUGUUGGGUGCUAUUCAGUGCUAUGUGGCUAGCCUCUGUGGUACAUACACUUACACCUACCUAGAUUGUUUAUAUGAACAUACCUGGUCACGGUAGACUUCCGUGUGAUAACAAAACAGAACCCAGCCUUAGAAGGCAGUGAGUCUCAUUUGGGUAUCACUGUUUUGCAUGACUCCUUGUAAACGACCAGGGGAGGAAAACCCAAAAGCCUCCUUGGCCUUCCAGUGAACACUGUUUUCAGCUGGCAGUGUUCUAAUGUUUCCUGCUGUGUUAGUACACUUCAAACACACACACACAAAGACACACCUCUGAUUGUUUUUGUCCAUGCCACAAAGACCCAAUACAAUAGGCCUGCUAAUCCGCGAAACACUGUGACACACAACGCGGUGCAUUCAGGCAUGGAAGAAUGUUUCCCCCUUCUAAGACAAGACAAUGAAGGAUUUGUCAAGGUAAAAUUCAGGUUUUGCAAAGCUGCUUUGAUUAGCACAUUAUUAAAGGAACAGUUCACCUGAACACAUUUCUGACUAUUUUGUUGCCUAAAAAAAUCCACUGUUAAUUCAAUCUUCCACAAUUUUAUAGAUGUCAUUAUUCACUCGUCAUUGUAAGGUAUGUUUCAAGUCAUCGUCUUUGCUUUAUUUGUAACAGACAUCCUUGGGAAAGAUAGAGGAGUCAGUUGAAAGAACAUCGGGCUGAAUUCGAACCCGUUGCUCAGCUGUACUUGUGCAACAGUCCAAGCUACACCAUAUGUUUUAAGACCAAAUAUCUUUCAGACGACGCCUCAGUCAAUCAGCUAGCCAUUGAAGUUCUAGAUGUUUCACUCUCACACAGACCUGGUUUCAUAAUUAAAAUGUGUGAUGAGGUACGUUUGAUUUCUCCACAGUGCUGAAGUUCUGUAAGGCAGGUACCACUUCGACAGCUGGUAGAUGUUCCACAUAACUCGGGCAUCUUCCACAGAUAAAACGUGCGCUCCACACAUCCCUCAUCUUCCAGAUGAUGGCACCAGGGAACAGUGUGUCACGCCGUCACACUGGAGCAACAUCAGCCGGCGUUGCUCUGGCAACACCAGCGACACAGCCCGUAAUGUUUGUCGGCAUCACUGGGCUGCGUCCAGACGGAAUAAACGUUGAAUUAUUCAGAGGAGAUCGGGAGCUGGAUCCGGGGUGCAUUCAUUCCGCCACUUCUGAUACAAACGGUACGAACGGUACACGGUGCCAACUGGAACAAGAGUUUCCGCUGGUCAAAUUCUUGCUAGCACCUCGGCUCCUUUUCAACCCCUCUGCCCACUUGCACUGUGCAGGAAAUGGGAAGGUCGCUAACUUAACGCGCAACGCCUGAGCACAGUUCCAACAUCCUGUUUCCUGGGAGGAGCUGAAGUUAAAGAUGACUCGCUGAAGACCGUCCACAGGACUAAGAUUGAGGCAGCAAGAGACACUGAGAAAUCCAUGAGUUGUUGUUUUUUUUGGCCCAAUUCAAACAAAGGGCCAAAUAAUGUUUUCCCUGUAUUUUGGAAAACAUUAACACUAACCCUGGUUGGCACAAAGUCAUGGAAAAACCGCCGACACUAAUCCCGGUCGCCAUGGUGACCUAGUUUACAGCUCACUCAUUGUUUUGACACAUCAACCCACAAAGGCCAAGGUGCGUGGAAUAGUUUGGCGGCUCUGAAUUGAUAUGACCGGAUUGUCACUCAUUGACAGAAUCACUGACUGUAUUCUGACGCCGAACCUUACGGCCCGUGUUAGGGCAAAAUGGUCACACGCCAAACCAAAAGCCGAAACUGGGCAAGGCUCCCUAGUUGCCCUGUGACAAGUUGUGAUCAGCCCUGUUAUAACAGCGGCUCCUCGUGGCAUUGCUACUGUAUGGUGUAGCUAAUUGCUCCAAGGCUGGAAUUCCUUAGGACCCAACAUAGCAAUGAUUACCCAGCGACCUUGGGAUAAAGAUCUGCAGUGUGCUGUAAUUAGGGUCAGAUCGGAUUGAGCCCUUAACACAGUCCCUGAUCAGACACAAGCAAAAAAGUAGAAGGAGUUGUGUGGCACUUGUGGCAGAGAUAUUAUUAGCGUCAUAUCUGAUGUUCUUUUUUUUACUAAGGAGUUGACCACCCUGAUUUGGUUGAGAUGAGUUCAGUUACACUACAAUGCUAUUCACUACAAAAGGAUGCAAACUCUUUGCCUGUAUGUGAGAGCAUUCUCGUCACCUUACAUAUACAAGGCUUAGCUAGAGUUAACAGAAACUUGGGAUAAUAUAUAAACACACACACAUAUAACAUCUAUACUGGCACAUGGAAAACAACAACCUCCUGCCUCAUAAACAUUCCGUAGAUAAUUUAGUUCUUAUCAUCUGGGGAAAAACACAUUCAAAUUACUGUAAGGGACCAAAAGCUCUCAUACUGGGCAGCUACUCUCACGACACAUACAGUUCAGUUCCAAAGUCCUGAUAUUCAAACAGUGCAAUUUCAGAUUUCCUUGACUUCUAAUUCUCCAUUUCACCGCUGCGAUUCUUCCCGGUGUCCUUUCCCUGGGCGUUCAGCCGUAGAUCAGCGCCCGUGCUCGUGAAGUGUCCGCGACCAGGAGUGCCGAUUUAGAAUCAGGUCUUCGCUGUCCAUGGAAUAUUAUCGAUUGUGAUCUACAAGGACGAACUGAUCGAGGGCCAUGUCAGUCUUCCUCCUCCGCUCCAGUGCCGUUCAUGACCAUGCCCGACUCCCAGCGCUGCAGCAGGGGAGUCUUCAGCCUGGGAGUGUGAGGACUCUGGAGGCC
ensembl:lncRNA